GGUUAAAUAACAUAACAGGCUAAUGUGUUAGAUUGCAAAUCUUAAAAUACUGGUUCAAGUCCAGUUUUAACUU
rnacentral:tRNA from 1 species